AAAGCACCUGUAGAGUUUAUAUCAUCACAGCACCCCUUCUCAGUCAAACACAGGUGGGAGAAAAAACUUUCACUCAUUUUGGAAUUUUGCGAAAUCCAUGAUGGUCCAUUAUAUAACAACAGUGGCUCUGCUGUUUCACCUGCUUCCGUGGCAUGGCUGUGGUGGGGAACAAGCAGCAAGAUCGAAGAGAUUUUUGUCAGUCUUAUUGCCUCAGGAAAAACCAAACCAGAAUACAGGUACAAAAAUAGCAAGAGAGCAUAUCAAUUUGAAUUCUCUAAUAUUUCUUUAUUUUGAUCAAUUCACUGACACUCAGGCUUGACCCUG
rnacentral:lncRNA from 1 species